AUUCCUGCAGUGCAAUGGAUAGCACAGUGGACUUCUAAUACGUAGAUCGUGGUUUCGAAUUCCACCUGGGAUG